rnacentral:rRNA from 1 species
GGCCAGACUCCUACGGGAGGCAGCAGUGGGGAAUAUUGCACAAUGGGGGAAACCCUGAUGCAGCGACGCCGCGUGAGUGAAGAAGUAUUUCGGUAUGUAAAGCUCUAUCAGCAGGGAAGAAAAUGACGGUACCUGACUAAGGAGCCCCGGCUAACUACGUGCCAGCAGCCGCGGUAAUACGUAGGGGGCAAGCGUUAUCCGGAUUUACUGGGUGUAAAGGGAGCGUAGACGGCAUGGCAAGUCAGAUGUGAAAGCCCGGGGCUCAACCCCGGGACUGCAUUUGAAACUGUCAGGCUGGAGUGCAGGAGAGGUAAGUGGAAUUCCUAGUGUAGCGGUGAAAUGCGUAGAUAUUAGGAGGAACACCAGUGGCGAAGGCGGCUUACUGGACUGUAACUGACGUUGAGGCUCGAAAGCGUGGGGAGCAAACAGGAUUAGAUACCCCAGUAUGG